AAAGUCGUAACAAGGUUUCCGUAGGUGAACCUGCGGAAGGAUCAUUAGUGAAUUCAUAGGACGUCUGCCGCAAGCAGAGUCCGAAACCUCACACACACCCUCACACUGUGCACUAUAUCUCUGCGAAACGGGUCUCACGACCCCGACUAGCGGCUUAUUAUUACAAAAUCUAGUCCAUGUAUGUCAAACAAAAAUAUAAUAAUGAAAAACUUUCAACAACGGAUCUCUUGGCUCUC
rnacentral:misc_RNA from 1 species